rnacentral:rRNA from 1 species
AUGGAAGUUAUAGCUAAAGAGAAGGCUCAAGCAGCACCUGCGAUCCAUGAUGAAGUCGAUCUUGAUGAGUUACUGGAUGACCCAGAGCUUGAGAAAUUGCAUGCUGAACGGCUUGCUGCUCUUAAGAGAGAGGUCGAGAAGCGUGAGGUGCUAAAGAGGCAAGGUCAUGGUGAAUACAGGGAAAUAACCGAAGGGGACUUCUUAGGAGAGGUCACUCGUGGUGACAAGGUCAUCUGUCAUUUCUACCAUCGUGAAUUUUACCGCUGCAAGAUCAUGGAUAAGCAUUUGAAGGCACUUGCACCGGUCUAUUUGGGAACUAAAUUCGUCAAGCUUGAUGCCGAAAAUGCUCCCUUCUUUGUGGCAAAACUAGCAAUCAAAACGUUGCCAUGUGUUAUAUUGUUCAAGAAGGGUAUUGCUCUUGAUCGGUUGGUUGGUUUCGAUGACCUUGGAAGUAAAGAUGAUUUUUCUACCAGGGCUUUGGAAAAUGUACUGAAGAGGAAAGGUAUAAUUGAGGAAAAGAAGAAAGACGAUGAUGACGAAGAUGAUGAGACUGACAUGUCAAAGGAUAGGAGGCUCUCGGAAGUUCCUUAUGAUUUAUGUGUGCCGUAUUGUAUCGAACAAGAGAACUGGAAGCCGGAUGUAUUAGUGAUCUGUCAGUAA